UCUGACUGCCGGAAGUUCACCGUGUCUAUUCUCAAGAUUCAUGCCAGAGAGAUCUUUGACUCCUGUGGGAAUCCCACUGUUGAGGUGGAUCUGUACACCGCAAAAGGUCUCUUCCGAGCUGCGGUGUCCAGUGGUGCAUCCAAGGCAUCUAAGAGGCCCUAGAACUCUGAGACAAUGACAAGACCUGCUUCAUGGGGAAGGUGUCUCACAGGCUGUUGAGCACAUCAAUACACUAUUGCACCUGCUCUGGUUAGCAAGAAACUGAAUGUUGUGGAGCAGGAGAAGAUUGACCGGCUGAUGAUCAAGAUGGACGACACCAAGAAUAAAUGUAAAUUUGGUGCAAAUGCCAUUCUGGGAGUGUCCCUGGCUGUCUGCAAAGCUGGUGCCAUGGAAAAGGAGGUACUCCUUUACCGUCACAUUGUUGACUUGGCCAGCAACCCUGAGGUCAUCCUGCCGGUCCCAGCUUUCAGUAUGAUCAAUGGAAGUUCUCAUGCUGGCAACAAGCUGGCCAUGCAAGAGUUCAUGAUCGAUCCUGCCUAUGGGAGCAUCCUCUUUCCAGGAAGCCAUGCACAUUGGAGCAGAGGUUUACCACAACCUGAAGAACGUCAUCAAGAAGAGGUAUGGGAAAGACACCACCAGUGUGGGUGAUGAGGGCGGAUUCACCCCUAACAUCCUGGAGAACAAAGAAGCCCUGGAGCUGCUCAAGACUGCAAUUGCAAAGGCUGGCUACACUGACCAGGUUGUCAUCGGCAUGGAUGUGGCUGCCUCCGAGUUCUACAGGUCUGGCAAGUAUGAUCUGGACUUCAAGUCUCCAGUUGACCUUAUCAGGUACAUCACACCUGACCAGCUGAAUAACCUAUACAAGUCCUUCAUUCAGGACUACCCAGUGGUGUCCAUUGAAGACCCCUUUGACCAGGACAACUGGGAUGCUUGGCAGAAGUUCACAGCUAGUGCAGACAAUCUGGGUGAUGGGCCACAGUGACCAACCCUAAGCGAAUUAUCAAGGCUGCAGGCGAGAAGUCCUGCAACUGCCUUCUGUUCAGAGUGAACCAGAUUGGCUCUGUGACUGAGUCUCUGCAGGCGUGUAAGCUGGCCCUGUCCAAUGGCUGGGGUGUCAUGGUGUCCCUUGAACUGGGGAAACCGAGGACACUUUCAUUGCCGACCUGGUGGUGGGGCUCUGCACUGGGCAGAUCAAGACUGGUGCCCCUUGCCAAUCUGAGUGCCUACCAAAUACAAUCAGAUCCUUAGAAUCGAGGAAGAGCUGCGCAGAAAAGCUAAGUUUGCUGGCAGGUCCUUCAGGAACCUCCUGGCCAAGUAA